GAUGAACGCUGGCGGCGUGCUUAACACAUGCAAGUCGAACGGGAAAUAUUUCAUUGAGCCUUCGGUGGAUUUGAUUUAUUUCUAGUGGCGGACGGGUGAGUAACGCGUGGGUAACCUGCCUUAUACAGGGGGAUAACAGUCAGAAAUGGCUGCUAAUACCGCAUAAGCGCACAGAGCUGCAUGGCUCAGUGUGAAAAACUCCGGUGGUAUAAGAUGGACCCGCGUUGGAUUAGCUAGUUGGUGGGGUAACGGCCCACCAAGGCGACGAUCCAUAGCCGGCCAGAGAGGGUGAACGGCCACAUUGGGACUGGGACACGGCCCAGACUCCUACGGGAGGCAGCAGUGGGGAAUAUUGCACAAUGGGGGGAACCCUGAUGCAGCGACGCCGGGUGAAGGAAGAAGUAUCUCGGUAUGUAAACUUCUAUCAGCAGGGAAGAUAGUGACGGUACCUGAAUAAGAAGCCCCGGCUAACUACGUG
rnacentral:rRNA from 1 species